rnacentral:rRNA from 1 species
GAUAACCUCGGGAAACUGGGUAUAAUACCCGAUAGGUCUCGAUUGCUGGAAUGCAUCGAGAUUUAAAGCUCCGGCGCCUAAGGAUGGGUCUGCGGCCUAUCAGGUAGUAGUGGGUGUAGCGUACCUACUAGCCUACGACGGGUACGGGUUGUGAGAGCAAGAGCCCGGAGAUGGAUUCUGAGACACGAAUCCAGGCCCUACGGGGUGCAGCAGGCGCGAAAACUUUACAAUGCUGGCAACAGCGAUAAGGGAACCUCGAGUGCCAGGUUACAAAUCUGGCUGUCGAGAUGCCUAAAAAGCAUUUCAUAGCAAGGGCCGGGCAAGACCGGUGCCAGCCGCCGCGGUAACACCGGCGGCUCGAGUGGUAACCGUUAUUAUUGGGUCUAAAGGGUCUGUAGCCGGCCGGAUAAGUCUCUUGAGAAAUCUGGCAGCUUAACUGUCAGGCUUUCAGGAGAUACUGUCUGGCUCGAGGCCGGGAGAGGUGAGAGGUACUUCAGGGGUAGGGGUGAAAUCUUGUAAUCCUUGAAGGACCACCAGUGGCGAAGGCGUCUCACCAGAACGGACCUGACGGCAAGGGACGAAAGCUAGGGGCACGAACCGGAUUAGAUACCCGGGUAGUCCUAGCCGUAAACGAUACUCGCUAGGUGUCGGCCACGGUGCGACCGUUGUCGGUGCCGUACGGAAGCCGUGAAGCGAGCCACCUGGGGAAGUACGGCCGCCAGGCUGAAACUUAAAGGGAUUUGGCGGGGGAGCACCACAACGGGGUGGAGCUUGGCGGUUUAUUUGGAUUCAACGCCGGAGAUCUUACCGGGACCGACAGCAAUUAUGAAGGCCAGGGCUGGAAGACUUUGCCGGGAUUAACCUGAGAGGUAGUGCAU